rnacentral:rRNA from 1 species
UCGUUCUCGUUAGAUCACCGAAGUUAAGCAUCAUUGGGCGCGGUCAGUACUUGGGUGGGUGACCACUUGGGGAACACUGCGUGCCGUU